rnacentral:rRNA from 1 species
UACGUAGGGUGCAAGCGUUAAUCGGAAUUACUGGGCGUAAAGCGUCCGCAGGCGGUUCUAUAAGACAGAUGUGAAAUCCCUGGGCUCAACCUAGGAACUGCAUUUGUGACUGUAGAGCUAGAGUACGGCAGAGGGGGAUGGAAUUCCGCGUGUAGCAGUGAAAUGCGUAGAUAUGCGGAGGAACACCGAUGGCGAAGGCAAUCCCCUGGGCCUGUACUGACGCUCAUGGACGAAAGCGUGGGGAGCAAACAGG